rnacentral:rRNA from 1 species
UACGGAGGGGGCUAGCGUUGUUCGGAAUUACUGGGCGUAAAGCGCACGUAGGCGGCUUUGUAAGUCAGAGGUGAAAGCCUGGAGCUCAACUCCAGAACUGCCUUUGAUACUGCAAAUCUCGAGUCCGGAAGAGGUGAGUGGAAUUCCUAGUGUAGAGGUGAAAUUCGUAGAUAUUAGGAAGAACACCAGUGGCGAAGGCGGCUCACUGGUCCGGUACUGACGCUGAGGUGCGAAAGCGUGGGGAGCAAACAGG